rnacentral:piRNA from 1 species
UCACAAGGUAGAAAGCUAUCA